GCUUUUUCAACUAAAACUUGCAGAAAUUGAAGAGCAAAAAACUGAAGGAUCUGAUAUUUAUUUUCUGAAUUAUUGUAUAGUUUGAUGGGGUGGUAAGAGAUCAGCUCUCUGUAGAAUUUUUCUUUAUGAAAAACUAUGAGGAUUAUGAAAAACCCUAACAUAUCUAGCUCGAUUAAGGAUGGAGAUGUGAAGAUGGAGGAGGAAGAAGGUGUAAAGAGAAGGAGGGAAAGUGAAAAGCCACCAGGGGAUGACUGUUGUCCUAUUUGCUUUGGGGAUUUCUCAAUUCCUUGUAAAACCAACUGUGGUCACUGGUUUUGUGCUAAUUGCAUAUUGCAGCUGUGGUACUACAGAUCAACACUGCGGCGAUGCAAGUGUCCAAUAUGCAGCUGCCUCAUAAGUAAAUUGGUACCGGAGGCAUCAUUACUUGUUCAACAGGAAAAGGAUGUUGUCGAGCUGCUUAAAAAGAUUAGGCGGUACAAUCACAUCUACAUUAGUGGCGCUUAUGGGAUUUUUCUCAAGGUACUAGCACUGCCGCUUUUAACUCGGAGAGUUCUCCGAGCACUGAUGGACACUCUGAUGGAUCCUGAUCAAGUUCGAUUAAACUAUUACUUGAUGCGCAUUUUCGCAUUGUUCCUGAGUUGGAUCUACUGGGGCUGCGAAUUUCAGUUCAUUCCUACUGGAGGACUGGGAAUCUGGAGGUUGUUUGACAUCUGUGCUAUUGCCACGGUAGCCAUUUUCUAUAUAGUUGGUCUAUACCAUAGAUGGGUGCUUCGUCGUCGUGUGAGACAGUUGGCUGUUCUACCAAUACAUCCUGAUUGAAAGCCUAUGCCUUCUUACCCGGAAGUCUUUGCUGUGAAUAUAUCUCAAUGUUUGUUGCCCAAAAAAAGAGAUCCCCAUGCAGAAUAUUUGUAUGGGAGGUUAUUUUAAACCAUUUUCUUCUACUCAUUUUGUUGGUAGCCAAGAGAUUGUAAUUCCUCCCCCAAUGAUAGGUCAUAUAUGUUAGUCUUGAACUCUAAUUAACAAAGUGCUUAGUGUGCUUUUGGUACAUAUUUGAACUUGGUAGGUCCUAGAGUAUUUCACCAAUUAGUUAUCCAAGAUUGUCAACGCUCGUAGUCUGAGUUAAAUCUUCGAGACUUCAGAAGUCUACAGCAUGAUAUGUGGUUACCUGCUCAUUGAGAUUUGGCACAUUCAUGGUUAAAGCAUCAAGUUUUGGGCUAUUCUUAUGAUUGUUCGAUUUAU
rnacentral:misc_RNA from 1 species